GCCAGAGCUCAAGAAGCUGCUGGAUGGGCUGGGGCUCCCGGAUCCACAGGGCUUCCUGUUCAAGGAGAUGAAGACCUGGGUCCAGGGCUCCGACCUUGGCUCUAAGGCCAUGCUGCGUACACACUGCGUCCAGAAGCUGGAGGACAUGAUCCAGCAGCUGAAGGUCUAGGGAACAGGGGCUGGUUGGGGCACCCAUAGGGAGCCUCUUACCUCCAGAAAUCUAGAAGUCUCUGGAGAGGGCCAGGUGGGACUCCAGGAAUGCCUCCUUAGGCUCUGUCUCCAUGAUUCCCCAACCUGAGUAUCUCUGGGGAGUCCUGCUCCCACUGAAGGCUACACCAAGGGCUUUAUGUUGGAGACUGAGACUGCUCUGAGGAGGCCUCCUAAUUAGGCAGUCUUCCUGGGGCAGGGGUGGGAGCAGAAAGAAAUUUCAGGGGCUAAUGAGCUAGGGUGCUUUCUUGACCCGCCACUUCCCCUACAGAUGGAAAACACACAGCUGACUACAGCCAAGUUGCCUAUGGUGCUGCCCAAGGUCUUCAAGACCUCAGUGCCUUCCUCUCCUCCCAAGGAGACCCUUUCACAAGCUUCGAUGAUCUUGGGGACACCCACAAGCAUCCUGGAGCCACCUUUGCUGGUGGUGCCACUGGCACAGCCUCAGGCAACUACCCCAGGGCUCCAGGCUGAGCCCACGCCCAUGCAGGUACCCACCAGGUGGACCAAACACUUUCUCUCAGAGACACUACAGAGCUUCUCCGUGGUGCCCCAGGCCCGCGUGGAUUCCCUGUUGCCACCUGCACAGCUUGAUGAGCUGCUGCCGCUUGAAAAAACCGACUGGUCGCAUUCAAAGAUGCUGGACCUGCGAACCACUGAUGCACUGAAUUUCUUCUGUGAGAAGCAGCAUGUGCGGCAGCUGAGCUCCCUGCAGGAGGCCAAGUACAGGCCCGUGGCCCUGUGCCUGCCAGAGCCCAACACUGUGGUACCGCUGCCUCGGGAUCGCAGGUACCACCCCAUCUUCCGGCUGCAGGAGGCGGAGUCCCAGAGCUCCAGGAUGAGACUGAGGGGCUGUGCACUGUCCCGACACAGCACCCAUGUGCUGGAUGGCGCCAGCCACGCGCUGAAGCUCCCGCUGCCACGGGUGGAGCCACAGCCCUUUCCCCCUGGCUGGCCCAGGCCUGCUCAUGCUCGCCCCCCGCAGCUCCUACAGCCGGCCCUGCAGCGCUACUUUCUUCUGGAGGACAUGGACCCUGACAACUACAGCUAG
rnacentral:lncRNA from 1 species